rnacentral:rRNA from 1 species
AGUCGAACGAAAUCUUCGGAUUUAGUGGCGGACGGGUGAGUAACGCGUGAGAAUCUGGCUUCAGGUCUGGGACAACCACUGGAAACGGUGGCUAAUACCGGAUGUGCCGAGAGGUGAAAGGUUAACUGCCUGAAGAUGAGCUCGCGUCUGAUUAGCUAGUUGGUAGAGUAAGAGCCUACCAAGGCGACGAUCAGUAGCUGGUCUGAGAGGACGAUCAGCCACACUGGGACUGAGACACGGCCCAGACUCCUACGGGAGGCAGCAGUGGGGAAUUUUCCGCAAUGGGCGAAAGCCUGACGGAGCAAUACCGCGUGAGGGAGGAAGGCUCUUGGGUCGUAAACCUCUUUUCUCAGGGAAGAACACAAUGACGGUACCUGAGGAAUAAGCAUCGGCUAACUCCGUGCCAGCAGCCGCGGUAAUACGGAGGAUGCAAGCGUUAUCCGGAAUGAUUGGGCGUAAAGCGUCCGCAGGUGGCAAUGUAAGUCUGCUGUUAAAGAGUCUAGCUCAACUAGAUNAGAGCAGUGGAAACUACAUAGCUNGAGUACGUUCGGGGCAGAGGGAAUUCCUGGUGUAGCGGUGAAAUGCGUAGAGAUCAGGAAGAACACCAGUGGCGAAGGCGCUCUGCUAGGCCGUAACUGACACUGAGGGACGAAAGCUAGGGGAGCGAAUGGGAUUAGAUACCCCAGUAGUCCUAGCCGUAAACGAUGGAUACUAGGCGUGGCUUGUAUCGACCCGAGCCGUGCCGUAGCUAACGCGUUAAGUAUCCCGCCUGGGGAGUACGCCGGCAACGGUGAAACUCAMAGGAAUUGACGGGGGCCCGCACAAGCGGUGGAGUAUGUGGUUUAAUUCGAUGCAACGCGAAGAACCUUACCAAGGCUUGACAUGUCGCGAAUCCUGGUGAAAGCUGGGAGUGCCUUCGGGAGCGCGAACACAGGUGGUGCAUGGCUGUCGUCAGCUC